AUUGGCUACGGUUUGUGGUAAAAGCGUAUCGCGUGAUAUAAAAGGACGACAGUGGUGACAUAGAAGCAUCCAUUAGCGAGGCUUUGGUCUGCUUGUGGUGUUGAUAGCCGAGUCUCUCCAGCGCGCCCUCCCCGCCGCCGCCGCCGCCGCCACCGCCGCCGCCAUGUCGCCGCUCGCCCGCUCGCUACUCGCGCUUGCCGCGCUGCUCGCCGCCGCCGACGCCCAACGGUAUAACUGCGUCACGGAAGAUGUCGGUCAAAUAACAAAUCAUCCUGUUAUACUAAACGAUGUUCUUAUACCCUACCCGGGGGCCCAAGUGAUUCUGCCUGAUCAUGGUGUUUGCCCGAAUGACGCGAAGCCGGUUGGUGAACACAUAGAGUGCUGCAACAAU